CAUUUUCCUCUCUCAAUCUCAAUCUCCAUUAUACCCCCAAACAUGCGAUUUUGUUAAUUAAAAUACUCCUAAAGUUGUAAUUUGCUAAAGUGAUUAUAUCAUCAUGAAAAAUGGGACAUAGACUAUUCAUCAAGUAGUAUGAAUAAAAUUGUUCCUUUAAUUUUUAAUAACCUUUUGCGCUUGAUCUGUAACAUCAUAUCAACUUUGAUUGCAUAGUUAGUAGCUAAUUGGGCGAGAAUCUCUUUUCCCAGUAGUAGAAAUUUACACAAAUUUGUAGGAACUAAAACGACGAAAAUGAGUUACUUUUGAAAUGAUAAGCUAUGGAAGGAUGGGUUUAUUUUUAUUUUUGUGUUGAAGUGGGGAUGGGAAGUUGGUUAGUUGUUGUACUUGUACUAACCAACUUAGGUGCAUAAUAAAACAAUACAAGAAAAUUGUAGAGAUGGCUUCGAGAAUUUGGAAUGACGAUAAAAAUAGUUAUAAACUUCUUUUUUUAGGUUAAAAGUAGUUAUAAACUAAUGGUGCUUGAAAUCGCAUUUUUUGGCCACACUUAUGCAUAAAGCUAUAUAUACUAGCAUGUAGAAAACGUGCAUAUUUUUGUGUGUUGACUUUUAAUCCAAACACCUAUCAAGAGAUAAGGAGAGUGGUUGAUAAGAGUGGGAGACCAAAACGAUGGGAAUGAUUGGCUCCUUAUUGUUUAAGCUUAUGGUUAUUUUUAGGAUAAAACAGGUGAAGUUUUUUAGGUGUUGUUUUCAGACUGAUAUUGAAGUUUCACUUUACCUCUGUAACUAAUGCCAAGUGCCAACCAUUACUUGCUGGCUACUAAUGUGAAACCCCAAUUAUAAUGUGAGAAUGACACCAAAAGCACUUAAGGAAUUGCAUCUUGGUAUUGCUCUUAUUUUUAUUUCCACAAGCCUCAAAGUCCACUAUAUAGAAGUAUCACCAAAGUAUAUAUAUUUAGGUGUGAAAGGCUGUUUUAAUGUUUUAAACCAUUGUUGUUAAACCCUUGAGUUAACUCAUAAGACUCUUAUGAGUUUACUAUUCUAGUUAGCAUGUUGACUCAUUGUCAAACUCUUUUGUAUGUAAACACAUGUAAACUCAUUAAAACCGUGUAAACUCUUGAGUCAAGAAGCGAGUCAACAUUUGAAAUCAAAUGUAAUUUUUCCUCCAUUGACCCCACAACAAUGUUUUUAAUGACGGAUGACGGUUCAUGGCGGAAAGCCAACAAUCCACCGUAAAAAUAUGACGGAUAGUGUAGCAGCAAAUGACGGACGUCAUGGCGGACAAAAAAAAUAAAAAAUAAA